rnacentral:rRNA from 1 species
UUGGUGACGCGGAGGGACAUUACCGAGUUUACAACUCCCAAACCCAAUGUGAACGUUACCAAACUGUUGCCUCGGCGGGGUCACGCCCCGGGUGCGUAAAAGCCCCGGAACCAGGCGCCCGCCGGAGGAACCAACCAAACUCUUUCUGUAGUCCCCUCGCGGACGUAUUUCUUACAGCUCUGAGCAAAAAUUCAAAAUGAAUCAAAACUUUCAACAACGGAUCUCUUGGUUCUGGCAUCGAUGAAGAACGCAGCGAAAUGCGAUAAGUAAUGUGAAUUGCAGAAUUCAGUGAAUCAUCGAAUCUUUGAACGCACAUUGCGCCCGCCAGUAUUCUGGCGGGCAUGCCUGUCCGAGCGUCAUUUCAACCCUCGAACCCCUCCGGGGGAUCGGCGUUGGGGAUCGGGACCCCUCACCGGGUGCCGGCCCUGAAAUACAGUGGCGGUCUCGCCGCAGCCUCUCCUGCGCAGAAGUUUGCACAACUCGCACCGGGAGCGCGGCGCGUCCACGUCCGUAAAACACCCAACUUCUGAAAUGUUGACCUCGGAUCAGGUAGGAAUACCCGCUGAACUUAGGCAUAUCUUUAAUG